UUCCAGACCAAGAAUACCAUAAUGAAAUCCAAAUGACCACACUGCUAACUUUGAAAACAUCAGGGCUAGCAAGUCAGUCUUUGCGAAGCAAGUUGGUAGCCUCAACACAUUUCUCAAGGUGAGCCAGAGGAUGUUUGCGUGAGUGGAAGCGCUCUCAGGGUGAGGAGAGAAGCAGAUGGGCUGACAUGGUGGAGCGAGGGCAGCUCCAGCCUGCGUUUGGGGAGAGUGUGCAGAAAAAUGGCUGACAUCUCCCUGCUGGCGAACGCAUGAUGGGCGUCCUCCUCUGCAAUUUGGCUCUUGAAAACGGGAAACAAGAUGUAGAAAAUUGCCAGAUGUCUUCAGCUCAGCGCUGGAUGCCUUUCCAAUAGACAAAUACAAGCGAUUAACUUCACAGAAUGUCUGUGAGUUGAAAUUCAGACAAAGAUAAAAUGAUACAUUCUGGCCUUCAGAACUCAAAGCAUUGGAGAUGGGGACCCUGGACAUAAGCUUGUUUGCAGUAUGUGUAAAAAAGGCUUUCAUAACUGGAAUUAGAUGAGAAGAAUUAUGCCAGGAUACCUCUGGCCACCCUCAAAGCAUCCUUGUAAAUUCAGUCACAAGCAUAAGCAGCUUCAUUCUGUCCAAAGAAUUAGCAUUUUUUUAAGUGCUCAUUUUCCAAGUAUUCUUACUAAUACUUUAAUGGCUGUUGUAUACCCCAGUGCUGUGGAGCUGACUGAUGUGUCUUGCUGUGUUUCAGCGAAUGUUGUGAGGAAUCUACAGCAAUUAGCUGCUCAUGCCUCUGCUUUCCUGUUUUGUGCCUUCCCUUUCAUGUAUCAGAUGUUUGUAAGUUUUCCAUUAGACAUUUCCUGCUUCUAAUAGAUGUUUGUGAGGCUUUUGCUUUGAGCUAUCAGGGCUCCAAUUUGUGCUGAGAUGUUUGGUUUUGUUUUAGGGUUGAGAGGUCUUUGUACUCCUUUCUUCCUAGAAAACAUUAUAAUCUGGAAAAAAUAAAUAAAUUGUACUUUGCAAAAA